rnacentral:rRNA from 1 species
UACGUAGGAUGCAAGCGUUGUCCGAAAUUAUUGGGCGUAAAGAGCGCGCAGGCGGUCUAUCAAGUCAGAUGUGAAAUAUCCAGGCUUAACCUGGAGGGGUCAUUUGAAACUGGUAGACUAGAGUACAGCAGAGGAUAGUGGAAUUCCCGGUGUAGUGGUGAAAUGCGUAGAUAUCGGGAGGAACACCAGUGGCGAAGGCGACUAUCUGGGCUGAAACUGACGCUGAGACGCGAAAGCGUGGGGAGCAAACAGG